rnacentral:rRNA from 1 species
AAGCGGUGGAUGAUGUGGUUUAAUUCGAUGCAACGCGAAAACCUUACCCACCUUUGACAUGUACGGAAUCCUUUAGAGAUAGAGGAGUGCUCGAAAGAGAACCGUAACACAGGUGCUGCAUGGCUGUCGUCAGCUCGUGUCGUGAGAUGUUGGGUUAAGUCCCGCAACGAGCGCAACCCUUGUCAUUAGUUGCUACAUUCAGUUGGGCACUCUAAUGAGACUGCCGGUGACAAACCGGAGGAAGGUGGGGAUGACGUCAAGUCCUCAUGGCCCUUAUAGGUGGGGCUACACACGUCAUACAAUGGAUGGUACAAAGGGUCGCCAACCCGCGAGGGGGAGCCAAUCCCAUAAAGCCAUUCGUAGUCCGGAUCGCAGUCUGCAACUCGACUGCGUGAAGUCGGAAUCGCUAGUAAUCGUGGAUCAGAAUGUCACGGUGAAUACGUUCCCGGGUCUU